UUUUCUCCCCCCUCGAUGCAGGCUCCACCCCAAUCUGUGAGGCCAAGGGCAAACAGAUUGUGCUGCAGAAUCCCUUUGCACGAGCUUGAGACCCGAAUCGAUGUCAUCGAUGCAGCCACCAUCAAGGCGUGCACCAAAAUAUCUUCGACAAAGCUCCUGCCAUAGCAGCCAUUGACAGUUCCAAUCGAGCAGCUUCCUGACGACACCCAGAUCUGCAGCGGAAUGUUCUGGAUGAGAUAAGUAAAGUCACGCUGCGUUUUCAGCCGAAAAAAAC